GAACGUGUCCUGUAGUGGGGGAUAGCCCGGCGAAAGCCGGAUUAAUACCGCAUACGCUCUACGGAGGAAAGGGGGGGAUCUUAGGACCUCCCGCUACAGGGGCGGCCGAUGGCAGAUUAGCUAGUUGGUGGGGUAAAGGCCUACCAAGGCGACGAUCUGUAGCUGGUCUGAGAGGACGACCAGCCACACUGGGACUGAGACACGGCCCAGACUCCUACGGGAGGCAGCAGUGGGGAAUUUUGGACAAUGGGGGCAACCCUGAUCCAGCAAUGCCGCGUGUGUGAAGAAGGCCUUCGGGUUGUAAAGCACUUUUGUCCGGAAAGAAAACGCCGUGGUUAAUACCCGUGGCGGAUGACGGUACCGGAAGAAUAAGCACCGGCUAACUACGUGCCAGCAGCCGCGGUAAUACGUAGGGUGCAAGCGUUAAUCGGAAUUACUGGGCGUAAAGCGUGCGCAGGCGGUCCGCUAAGACAGAUGUGAAAUCCCCGGGCUUAACCUGGGAACUGCAUUUGUGACUGGCGGGCUAGAGUAUGGCAGAGGGGGGUAGAAUUCCACGUGUAGCAGUGAAAUGCGUAGAGAUGUGGAGGAAUACCGAUGGCGAAGGCAGCCCCCUGGGCCAAUACUGA
rnacentral:rRNA from 1 species